rnacentral:snoRNA from 2 species
CUAAAGGAUGAUUUUCACAAAAACAAAGCUGGAAUUACUGGCAGAAUAUAUACUGUUGAUAAGUUUUUGCAAUUACUACUGAUU